AGAACGCAGCAAAGCGCGAUAGGUAGUGUGAAUUGCAGAAUUCCGCGAAUCAUCGAAUCUUUGAACGCAUAUUGCGCCUGAGCCUUCUGGCUUGGGCAUGCCUGCCUCAGCGUCG
rnacentral:rRNA from 1 species